rnacentral:rRNA from 1 species
UACGGGGGGAGCAAGCGUUGUUCGGAUUUACUGGGCGUAAAGGGCGCGUAGGCGGUCAGCGCAAGUCAGUUGUGAAAUCUCUGGGCUUAACUCAGAACGGUCAACUGAUACUGCGCGACUAGAGUGCAGAAGGGGCAACUGGAAUUCUCGGUGUAGCGGUGAAAUGCGUAGAUAUCGAGAGGAACACCUGCGGCGAAGGCGGGUUGCUGGGCUGACACUGACGCUGAGGCGCGAAAGCUAGGGGAGCGAACGGG